GACGCGAGGACGGCUGAAUGACUGGGAGCCCCAAGUUGUCUGCGUCUCCGGGAGAGGUCUAUCUGGAUAUUAUUUUUGCUUUACAAAAAGAACAAAAACGGAGCCAGGCCUUUGAUCCCCCUGCCUGCUGAAGUGAGUUUUGAUUGAAGUAGCCUAGCCGAUCUUCUUACUGCCAGCAGCCGGGGAGGCUCCUAAGUGAGCUACUUCUCAGGCUGGGCACAAGCAAGUGAAUUUGAAAAAGCAGGACCAGCCCCUGCAUGUAGAGCUUCAGCCUGGAAACUCCCCAGUCAACCAUGUAGCUAAAGACCCUUGGUAUUGUGGUCACAUCCCUAAGAAGUGAGCAGUCAUCAGCAGUUGGCAUUCGGAGGAGGCUGGGAUGCUACAGAUGCUGUGGCACUUUCUGUCUAGCUUUCUCCCUAGAGCUGGGUGCCAGGACUCCAGAGAGGGCAUCGAUCAUGGAGUCAGAGGCACUCAGGCCCCUGCUCAGGGAGACCAGAUGUCCACCUUUUUGGGGAAACAAAGCGGAAGGGCUGAGGCCACGGAAAAGAGACCCACUAUCUUGCUGGUGGUCGGACCUGCAGAACAGUUUCCUA
rnacentral:lncRNA from 1 species